rnacentral:lncRNA from 1 species
GAUUAUGACCUGUCCCUUCUGUACCUGCCAGGCCGGGGGUGAUGCCUGUCCCUUCUGCACCUGCUGGCUGGGAUUAUGACCUGUCCCUUCUGCACCUGCCGGCUGGGGGUUACAACCUGUCUCUUCUGCAUGUGCUGGCCAGAGGUGAUGUCUGUCCAGUCCACAUAUGCCGGCAUGGGGGCUGACUGGUCUGUCUCUCUACAUCUGUGGGCUGUGGUGACUGGUCUGUCUCAUCUACACCCACCAGCUGGGUAUAAUGCCACAGACUCUGCCUGCUCCUGUGCUGGCACAUGCUGUAGCUCCUGGGGAGUAACCUGAGGAGUUACCUGGGGUGUGUCUGGCACAGGUGACCUCUGCAUGUCACUGGCAUUGCAGCAGAAGCCGGCAGAGGACCCAGGCCAGCAGAGCUCCUUCCCUCUUAGCUGUUGGCCAGGAACCCCCUCUCAGGAGCUGAGGGCACCUCUGGAUGGAAGGGUCAGAACUAGCUGGAGUUAUUCUGAUGAUCAUUACCUGAUUGUUAAAUUCAGUUUGGACAAUUUGGAGUCUUUAUGGACACAGAGUCCCCAAAUGCAAGGUGCAGUAGACUGAAUGUCUGUCCCCUCAAAUCUGAAACGUUGAAAUCAUUUGGGAAAACUGAAAUCAGUUGGUCUUUGGGAAGGCAUGAGGGUGAAACCCUCCU